GACGAACGCUGGCGGCGUGCCUAAUACAUGCAAGUAGAACGCACAGUUUAUACCGUAGCUUGCUACACCAUAGACUGUGAGUUGCGAACGGGUGAGUAACGCGUAGGUAACCUGCCUGGUAGCGGGGGAUAACUAUUGGAAACGAUAGCUAAUACCGCAUAAUAUUGAUUAUUGCAUGAUAAUUAAUUGAAAGGUGCAAUUGCACCACUACCAGAUGGACCUGCGUUGUAUUAGCUAGUAGGUGAGGUAACGGCUCACCUAGGCGACGAUACAUAGCCGACCUGAGAGGGUGAUCGGCCACACUGGGACUGAGACACGGCCCAGACUCCUACGGGAGGCAGCAGUAGGGAAUCUUCGGCAAUGGACGAAAGUCUGACCGAGCAACGCCGCGUGAGUGAAGAAGGUUUUCGGGUCGUAAAGCUCUGUUGUAAGAGAAGAACGGGUGUGAGAGUGGAAAGUUCACACUGUGACGGUACCUUACCAGAAAGGGACGGCUAACUACGUG
rnacentral:rRNA from 1 species